UAAGCAUAUCAAUAAGCGGAGGAAAAGAAACCAACAGGGAUUGCCCUAGUAACGGCGAGUGAAGCGGCAACAGCUCAAAUUUGAAAUCUGGCCCUUGUGGUCCGAGUUGUAAUUUGUAGAGGAUGCUUUUGGUGAGGUGCCUUCCGAGUGCCCUGGAACGGGACGCCAUAGAGGGUGAGAGCCCCGUCUGGUUGGACACCGAGCCUCUGUAAAGCUCCUUCGACGAGUCGAGUAGUUUGGGAAUGCUGCUCUAAAUGGGAGGUAUAUGUCUUCUAAAGCUAAAUAUUGGCCAGAGACCGAUAGCGCACAAGUAGAGUGAUCGAAAGAUGAAAAGCACUUUGAAAAGAGGGUUAAAAAGUACGUGAAAUUGUUGAAAGGGAAGCGCUUGUGACCAGACUUGGGCCCGGUCAAUCAUCCAGGGUUCUCCCUGGUGCACUUGGCCGGCCCAGGCCAGCAUCAGUUUGUCGCGGGGGAUAAAGACGUUGGGAAUGUGGCUCCUCCGGGAGUGUUAUAGCCCUUCGUGCAAUACCCUGCUUCGGACUGAGGUUCGCGCAUCUGCAAGGAUGCUGGCGUAAUGGUCAUCAGCGACCCGUCUUGAAACACGGACCAAGGAGUCGUCUUCGUAUGCGAGUGUUCGGGUGUCAAACCCCUACGCGUAAUGAAAGUGAACGCAGGUGAGAGCUUCGGCGCAUCAUCGACCGAUCCUGAUGUUCUCGGAUGGAUUUGAGUAAGAGCAUACGGGGCCGGACCCGAAAGAAGGUGAACUAUGCCUGUAUAGGGUGAAGCCAGAGGAAACUCUGGUGGAGGCUCGCAGCGGUUCUGACGUGCAAAUCGAUCGUCAAAUAUGGGCAUGGGGGCGAAAGACUAAUCGAACCUUCUAGUAGCUGGUUUCCGCCGAA
rnacentral:rRNA from 1 species